UUUACUUUUCUUUUUGUUGCUAUUUUGCUUGUUGUGUGUGUAUUUUGGAUACCCCUCAAUAAAUAUGAAUAUAAUGAAUAAUAUAUUUACACAGACUAGUGGCCACUGUAUGCUAAAAUAUCCUAUAAUUUCAUAGGUUUUCCUUCCCUACGGCUCUGCAAAGGGGUAUCCUAAUCGUCGACUUUCCUUCUCGGUGGUUUUUUUUUUUUUUUUUUUUGUUGCCCUCCUAUUUCACUGUAUGGGAAAUAUUUCACACGCUGCUUUGGCUAAGGCAAGCAAAGCACUUGACUGUUGAGUGGCGCUGGCUGGGGCCUCUGCCGCUGUCGCUGCUCGCUGCUCGCUGUCGUUGGGGAAAUGUUGGGGUUCGUUGCCGUCGCAGGCGUCGUCGUCGUUGCCGUCGCUGUCGUUCGUCGGGUCGGAUCGGGUGUUGUUAUCAAUUCAGUUGCUUGCUGGCUGCAUGGCGCGACGCUUGCUUGCACGUCUGGCCGGGGUCUGGGUCUGGGUCUGGCCCGGGUCUGGUCGGAUUGACUCGUGGUCGUGCGCCACGGGGGGAGGGGAUUGUAAUCGGUUUCAGUUCGUUUUCAUUUAAAUAGAAUUAAAUAUGGCAAAUGAGCAACAAGGAAUUUGUAAUCUAUAUAAUAAAUAAAUAAUUUCAAAUGUACCCACGAGAGAGACAGAGCGAUGGGUAGAGAAAGAGAGAGAGAGAGAUCAGUGGCAGAGCUGAGCAGUUAUGGUUGGACUUGGGACGACUGUCUGUCGUAAGUAACAAAAUCUCGUCGAAAUCGAGAUUCGAUAUUCGAGGGAAAGAACAGGCGCACAGCAAUUGCCAGCAGAGCAGUCGGCAGAAACAGCAAGCAGCAGCAGCUCGGGAGAGAGUGGACAAGCAAGCGAGAGGGAGAGAGAGAACGAGCGCCAAACGAAUCAGAGAGGGUGGCAGAAUAUACAUAUGAAAGUAGGCAAAGCAAAACAACACAGCGAAGAGAGCAAGCAGAAUGAGAGAGUGGAUGGUCCACUCGGCGAGCGCGAGAGAGCACCAGCUGAAGAAAAAAAAAACGAGAAAAAAAAAUCGAUGAGUCGCCUGAUAAGCAGCAAAUCAACGGAACCACGGCACCAGACCUGGGGACACCCGAACCGAGCGAAGCGACCAGAUACGAUACGAUACGAUACGAUAGCCAGCCAAACAACCACCACCCAAUAGGGGAAAAAUAGGAAACAGAAUGCCGCGACAGCGUCUAACCGAUGCGUGUGCCGUCGUCUGCGCUUGGUGUGCGGUGCAUCCGUGUACCUGACGCGCGCGUGUAACCGCCAAUUUAACAGGGAAACAGGCGGAGCAGCAAGAGAGUCGAGUCUCGCCGCAAAGCGUCGUGUCGGCAGAGAGGAGAGCCGAGCCGACAUGUAUGUGGGCCACCGAGCGAGCGACAAAAUGAGAGAUAGAGAGGGAGGAAUUGAUUGUAGGGUUGUCAAGAGUUCUAAUAAUACAAACAAAUUAAUUUGAAUACGUUUAUAGAAUUAUCCUAAGCAGAAAAAUAAAUAUUUUGCCAUCGUCGUGGAAUA